GCUACUACGUGCCAGCAGCCGCGGUAAUACGUAGGGUGCGAGCGUUAAUCGGAAUUACUGGGCGUAAAGCGUGCGCAGGCGGUUUUGUAAGACAGAUGUGAAAUCCCCGGGCUCAACCUGGGAACUGCGUUUGAGACUGCCAGGCUGGAGUUUGGCAGAGGGGGGUGGAAUUCCACGUGUAGCAGUGAAAUGCGUAGAGAUGUGGAGGAACACCGAUGGCGAAGGCAGCCCCCUGGGUCAAUACUGACGCUCAUGCACGAAAGCGUGGGGAGCAAACAGGAUUAGAUACCCUGGUAGUCCACGCCCUAAACGAUGUCAACUAGGUGUUGGGAGGGUUAAACCUUUUAGUGCCGUAGCUAAC
rnacentral:rRNA from 1 species